rnacentral:rRNA from 1 species
CGUGGGUAACCUGCCCAAGAGACUGGGAUAACACCUGGAAACAGAUGCUAAUACCGGAUAACAACACUAGACGCAUGUCUAGAGUUUAAAAGAUGGUUCUGCUAUCACUCUUGGAUGGACCUGCGGUGCAUUAGCUAGUUGGUAAGGUAACGGCUUACCAAGCAAUGAUGCAUAGCCGAGUUGAGAGACUGAUCGGCCACAUUGGGACUGAGACACGGCCCAAACUCCUACGGGAGGCAGCAG